rnacentral:rRNA from 1 species
AUUGAACGCUGGCGGCAGGCCUAACACAUGCAAGUCGAACGCCCCGCAAGGGGAGUGGCAGACGGGUGAGUAACGCGUGGGAACAUACCCUUUUCUACGGAAUAGCUCUGGGAAACUGGAAUUAAUACCGUAUACGCCCUACGGGGGAAAGAUGUAUCGGGGAAGGAUUGGCCCGCGUUGGAUUAGCUAGUUGGUGGGGUAAAGGCCUACCAAGGCGACGAUCCAUAGCUGGUCUGAGAGGAUGAUCAGCCACAUUGGGACUGAGACACGGCCCAAACUCCUACGGGAGGCAGCAGUGGGGAAUAUUGGACAAUGGGCGCAAGCCUGAUCCAGCCAUGCCGCGUGAGUGAUGAAGGCCUUAGGGUUGUAAAGCUCUUUCACCGAUGAAGAUAAUGACGGUAGUCGGAGAAGAAGCCCCGGCUAACUUCGUGCCAGCCGCCGCCGUAAUAC